UCACAGAUCAAUUCAGCUUUGUUUCCUCGCCCUGAGUUCAAGUGAUUGCUGGAUCCCUGUCCCUCACUCCAUAGUCAUGGACCGCUGCAGAUUCACUCCUCCCCAAGCCAAGCCUCAACAUAGCCUGGAUCUCCAGAUGUAUCACCUGGACCCUCAAAACUGCACUUCACUGAACUAGACAAUUUGGACUUCAAUUAUUCCUGUUUUUUCUUUUUAAAUCUGUGAGGUGGUUUCCAAGUGUCUUCAGAUGUAGUGAAGAGUUUGCGGGUGAGAACAGAACACCAGGUUCAUGAGUUCAGAGAGCCACAGGCUUGCAGGCUUUAAUCAGCAUCUGUGUGGACGAUCACACAGCGCUAGUGAAGCAGUACCAGAGGGAGAUCCCCAGCCUCUGGGCAGUGACCCUUUUAUCUGGCCACUCUGGCCAGCGGCUGCUGUCCAUGGUCCUGCACACACUGGGAAUCAGGUGAGUGGGAGAGAGAGAGAGAGAGAGAGAGAAGGAGACAGAAAGAGUGAGAAAGAGAGAUCACAGUAGGUAAAGACAGCAGUGAAUAGAGCACGUGUCCCAGCCCUCUAUAGACCCACUGCUGUUCACACAUCAGAGCUCCUCUAACUGUGUGUGACAGGAUUUGUAUAGAGGAAGGGGCUUUGCAUACCUGUCCUGCCUCACUGCUCCACACACUUUAAGACCCCCAGUGCUGAUCAGUGACUGUCCAGUCCUUUCACAGACACUGACACAGGCAGCAUCAUGAUGAUGUCAAACAUUCUACUGCUGGUGAUGCUGGGACUCCUUGUACAAGAAUCAAAGGCAGAUAAAGUUCUGACUCAGGAUCCAGCAGCUCGAUCUGUUCAGCUGGGAGACACUGUCUCUAUCAGCUGUACAGUCAGUGAGGAUGUGAGCAUCUGGCUCCACUGGUACCUGCAGAAACCUGGUCAGGCUCCUAAACUUCUGAUUUAUAAGGCCACAACCCGCCAGACUGGGAUUCCUGAUCGUUUCAGUGGGAGUGGAUCUGGGACUCAGUUCACACUGAAAAUCACUGGAGUCCAGGCUGAAGAUGCAGGAGAUUAUUACUGUCAACGUGCCUAUUUCACACUGCUCACACAGUGAUAGAGAGCCGUACAAAAACCUCCCUCAGUCAGACUGCACAGAGACUGCACUGCUGCAGCUGGGACCUACUGCAGGUGCUGAGGGGGGAGGCACUGAUCUGGAACAUUGAGCCCUGUUAGAUUAUUAUAAAAAUGUUUAUAUUCUCAAGUCAAAACAAUUACCAUAUACAUUAAUAUAUUUCAGAGAAUCCAAACUUUAAAUUAUGAAUGCAAUGUUGAAUAAUUUCCAAUAACUAUGCUUCAUAAUCUCUCCUUGGCCAACAGACAUGUGUUGUUCUGAAGCAGUGCUCUGACAUAAAAUAUCACAUUUCUAAAUUAAUUGAUAGUUAAUGAGUUUAACACAGGAUGGGACAGAGCCCAGCAGCAGUGAACAGCAGGCAGUCCAGCACAGUGGAGUCGCUCAGUCCAGAGCUCUCCCAGCACACCUUACACAGGCUGCUGCUGCACACCCUGACCAAUCAGAGAGCUCCACUGCUGCUUCUGAUCUGAUCCUCCAACCCCGUAAUAAAGGAGCACAAGCUACAGUCUGACGAGCUCUUCAGGACUGAUGGAGGAAUUACAGUUUAGGACAAAACUGACACUAAAACCAGGCUAAAAUCAUAGAAUACGUUUUCCACGGUCAGCUUAGUUUUCACAGUAUUUAAAAAGAAGCAUCUUCAUUGCUAGUUGUCACAAUACAACUGCAUUAAAACUCAGAAAGAAGAUGAGUGAAAUCAGGAAACAUUCAAAAUAAUUCAGCAUUUCACUUUUCAAUGAUUCUAUAUGGACGUACUGUAACUGAAUAAUUUCCUGUGACUGACUGAUGUCCCUGACUGUCUGAUCUCAUGUUAUGAACCUGUCGUCAGUGCACACAAUAUGUUAAUUUUUUAAGCAGAUAUUUUACAAUCAUACCUCAUAGUCAGCCAGUCUUUACCAAGUGCACAUCAAUAAUCAUACAGUAAAAUCAGAAUCAGUAAAAUUGACUUUCAAAUGCUUGACUAUGUGAAAACAUCAGUGAAUAGAGCACAUGUCCCUGCCCUCUAUAGACCCACUGCUGUUCACACAUCAGAGCUCCUCUAACUGUGUGUGACAGGAUUUGUAUAGAGGAAGGGGCUUUGCAUACAUGUCCUGCCUCACUGCUCCACACACUUUAAGACCCUCAGCACUGAUCAGUGACUGUCCAGUCCUUUCACAGACACUGACACAGGCAGCAUUAUGAUGAUGUCACACUUUCUACUGCUGGUGAUGUUGGGUCUCUUUGUACAGGGAUCAAGGGCAGAUAUAAUCCUGACUCAGUCUCCAGCAGCUCGGUCUGUUCAGCUGGGAGAGACUGUCUCUAUCAGCUGUACAGCCAGUGAGAGCGUUUACAGCUCCCUUAUUAGCGGGAGCUUACUCCACUGGUACCUGCAGAAACCUGGUCAGGCUCCUAAACUUCUGAUUUAUUAUGCCACAACUCGGCAGACUGGGAUUCCUGAUCGUUUCAGUGGGAGUGGAUCUGGGACUCAGUUCACACUGAAAAUCACUGGAGUCCAGGCUGAAGAUGCAGGAGAUUAUUACUGUCAGCAGGGCUUGAGCACGCCACUCACACAGUGAUAGAGAGCCGUACAAAAACCUCCCUCUGUCAGAGUGCACAGAGACUGCACUGCUGCAGUGGGGACCUACUGCAGGUGCUGAGGGGGGAGGCACUGGUCUGGAACACUGAGCUGUGGUGGAUUAUUAUAAAAAUGUUUAUACUCUCACAUCUAAAUAAAUAUCAUAUAUUAUAAUUUCUGUGUAUCCAAACUUUAAAUUAUGAAUGUCAUGUUAAAUAAUUUCCAUUAACUAUGCUUCAUAAUCUCUCCUUGGCCAACAGACGUGUGUUCUGAAGCUGUGCUAUGACACAAAAUAUCACAUUUCUAAAUGAAUUGAUAGUUAAUGAGUUUUACACAGGAUGGCACAGAGCCCAGCAGCAGUGAACUGCAGGCAGUCCAGCACAGUGGAGUCGCUCAGUCCAGAGCUCUCCCAGCACACCUUACACAGGCUGCUGCUACACACCCUGACCAAUCAGAGAGCUCCACUGCUGCUUCUGAUCUGAUCCUCCAACCCCGUAAUAAAGGAGCACAAGCUACAGUCUGACAGCACCGCUGACCAAUCCGGUGAGCUGCUGUGCAGAAGGCAUCAUAUCAUUAUCUGUGAGGUCACCACAGGAGGGAGGGAGGGACUCCUUCAGCUCAGUCGUCCCUUUCUCUCUGAGGAAAAGCGAUUCCUCUGGGUGACUGUGUGCCUGCAGUCUGCCUGUGCCAGCUGCGCAGUGUGAGCUCCCAGAUUCAGUGGCUGCGCUGCUCAGCUGGCUGAGAGCUAAAUGAGAAUUAGCGGCUGCUGGCUGCACAUGGGGAAGAGCAGAAUUUUCUGAGCUCUCCAGGACUGAUGGAGGAAUUACAGUUCAGCACGUAUAUGUGGAUAAAUCUUCGUUUGAAACAUGAAAUACAUUUUUGUAAGGUUAAGUCAGUUUCCCCAAUAUUUGAACACAAGCAUCUUCAUUACUAGUAUUCUAAAAUGCAACUCCAUUAAAUUCAAAGAAAGAUGGUCUUCUGAGUGAAAUCAGGGAAUGUUCAUUGUUAUCUUGCAUUUCACUUUUCAUGAAUUAUAGAUAGAUAUACUGCAUCUGAGUUAUUCCCUGCACCUGACAGAUGUCUAUGACUUUCCAAACUACCAUGAAGAAACUACAAUCAUAACAUUCAACGUGAAUUCAUUCACCUCAUAUUUUACACAAUGAUAAGCCAUAUUCAGCCUGCCUGUCUUCACCAGUUAUGUUCAUAAAAUCAGAUACUACAAGGCCAAAAACAGUAAUAUUGACAUUUAAACGUUUAACAGGGUAAAAACAGCAUGUGUCCCAGCCCUCUAUAGACCCACUGCUGUUCACACAUCAGAGCUCCUCUAACUGUGUGUGACAGGAUUUGUAUAGAGGAAGGGGCUUUGCAUACCUGUCCUGCCUCACUGCUCCACACACUUUAAGACCCCCAGCACUGAUCAGUGACUGUCCAGUCCUUUCACAGACACUGACACAGGCAGCGUUAUGAUGAUGUCACACUUUCUACUGCUGGUGAUGCUGGGACUCCUUGUACAGGGAUCAAUGGCAGAUAUAGUCCUGACUCAGUCUCCAACAGCUCAGUCUUUUCAGCAAGGAGACACUGUCUCUAUCAGCUGUACAGCCAGUGAGAGUGUUUACCACUCCAGUUAUAGCAAGAGCUUUCUCAGCUGGUACCUGCAGAAACCUGGUCAGGCUCCUAAACUUCUGAUAUAUGAAGCCACAACUCGCCAGACUGGGAUUCCUGAUCGUUUCAGUGGGAGUGGAUCUGGGACUCAGUUCACACUGAAAAUCACUGGAAUCCAGGCUGAAGAUGCAGGAGAUUAUUACUGUCAGCAGAGUUUGAGCUUUCCGUACACACAGUGAUAGAGAGCCGUACAAAAACCUCCCUCAGUCAGACUGCACAGAGACUGCACUGCUGCAGCUGGGACCUACUGCAGGUGCUGAGGGGGGAGGCACUGGUCUGAGACAGCAGUACUGCAAACUGGGCUGUAGGGGGGCGACAAUGAGCCAUAGCUCUGAAUGCACACCUCUCUGUGCUGAAGAGGAGCUGCUCUGUCACACACACUGAACCCAUAGCAGAGCUGCUGCUGAACCACACACACUUCUGUACCACAACAUCACAGGCAUCACACAGUACAUCAGCUCACAAGCAGCAAUCAUCUCCAUAUUGCACGUGAGUUCAGACUAAUGCAGAGGAUGUGUACAUUCUCAUACAGGUGGAAUGAGUGUGGUUUCAAAUGAAUUGCUUUCUGAAAAGAUGAGUUUGUAUUCAAUGCAUACACAAUAUUUAUUAUAUUAAAGGUGUUUCUGUUCAAA